GCUCAUUCUCUGAAACACAAGUCAUGAAGGAGGGGCUUGGGAGCGGGGGAGGGGGGAGUCACAGACCUUCAGCGUAGGUGGGGUCAGGGAGCAUCUAAUGCUAAAGAUCAGAAAGUGUCAAGCCAAAUCAUUAAAUAAGAUGUUAAUGAUUUUUCAACAUGAGGUCCAGGGGACACAAACCCAUGUUUUGUAAUCUUUCAUGUCCAGUCAGCAGAGACAUUCCAUGCUAUAAGAUCAUUAAGAGUAUUAUGGACAGCAAGGCUGGUAAGUUAAUUUCCUUCAAACUUAGAGCCUAUCUGGAAAGAAAUACAAACUUCAGUCAUAACUGAAAAGAAAAUUAUACGAAUUCUAGGUUUAAAAAUAUAAAAAUUAAAAGAAUAAACCCCAAAAGGCCACAGACCCAGGGCUAAGCCCUGCAGCCAAGACUAACAGGCCAUAAAGAUAAAGGAGCACAGGAAACACUGUUCAGGCAGGACUGACAAGCCAUAAAGAAAAGGAAUGCAAGAACCAGCCUGAGUUAAUGGGACUGAUUCAUGGGACGUCUGGCAGGAAGACAUCUCCCCCCAGCUCACUGAGGGCCAUCCUCCGGCCCCUGAUAAGCCCCUGACUUCUAGCACGUACUCUUUCUGCUUUGUUCUCACUGCUAUGUUUGAAUGAGCCAAUUGUAUGUAACCACGCCAAAACCCCCUAGCCUUCUCUAUAUAACCCUCUGACUUUUGAGUUUCGGGGCCGACACCUCUGUCUCCUGCGCGGGAUAUGUGUCGGCCCGGAGAUCUCUGUAAUAGGUCUCCGUAAUAAACCUCGCCUUUGCUUAUUACAUCCAAAAUGGUCUCUCUGUGUCUGGGGUCCGCAAUUUCCCAAGACUUGAGUAAGGGUCUCUCUGCGUGGGAUCUUUCAUAUUUAUGGGGGCUCGUCCGGGAUCUGCGCGACUACCCCAGACUCCGAAGACCCCUUGGAGGUGAGUUGGAUGUUUGUCUGAGUGUUUCUGUGUGAGCGGCGCCGCAAUUGUCAGUCUGUGUCUGUCUCUGUUUUGGUUCCGCCGUGUGUGUAUAUAUGUGUGUCUUAGUACUGGUCUGUGGUAAGAGGGCAGAUGGGUAUUCCUGCCCUGUGUUAAGAGGGCAGAUGGGUAUUCCUGCCCUGUGGUAAGAGGGCAGAUGUGUGUUCCUGCCUUGUGCUGAGAGGGUGGAUGUGUAUUCCUGCCCUGUGCUAGGAGGGUGGAUGUGUGUUCCUGCCCUGUAGGAGAGUGGAUGUGUAUCCCCACUCAGUGCAGCUGCCUUUGUGGUCCGUGAGGACCCCCUGGCUGCGGAAGGGGGGACGCCCCGGGCCCGCAAGGCUGCAGCCCCUGGAAGACGUUCCACGGGCGGAGAACAGUCGGGAGAGCCCGGCUAUAGACAGUCAGGAGGACCUGACUUUGGUUUUCUGGAACAAAGGAGAUGGAAUGCUCCUUUUACCUAGGCGGGAGUGGACGAGGAAUCCCACUCCGUCAGAGGUCGAGUUCGGCUGCCUAUUUAAAUAUAGGCACGGACAAGUGUGCUUGGUCGUUAAGACAAGAGGACACUCUGGAAUCCUGUUGGGAGGUGGAAUCAGAUGGUCCAUCUCAUCCCAAAAGCAGCUAAGGUUAAGCUGCAGUUUGGGCCACGUACUGAAGGUACCAGACAUCUGUGAAAGUUGGUUAUAAGAUGCUUUGUCUUGGUCUUGUUUGUCUGGCUUGUUUUCUGUGGUAUUGUCGAGUGUCUUUUUGGCUUUUGUUUCGUUUUUGAAUUUUGGACUGACGACUGUGUUCGAAUUUGGACUGACGACUGUGUUUAAAAUCUUGGACUGAUGACUGUGUUUGAAAUCAUGAAACUGUUUGCUUUGUUCGUCAAAGAGUUUUACUUGGUCCUCUUGGUGCUUAAGUUAAGAGUUAAAAAUAAUUUGCUUGAGAGAAAUUGUUUUCUGCCAGGGAGUUUUGUCUUUCUCUCUUGAGCCUCCUCCCCAAGGAGAGAGACCCCUCCCUUUACUCCCCUUGAUCAGCCUAGCUGCUGUUAACAGUUGUGUAAACAGACAUUAACAAAAACCUUGAGGACAAAACUGCUCGUAAAUAAAAAAGUUCCCCAGAUUAGGCCUCCGGUAUGAAACAAGUAUAGUGAGUAAGAAACUUAAUUUUAUGGACCCCGCUCUAGUGUCGGUGUUUUGGUUGAUAGCCAACGUUAAUUUUUUAAAACAUAGUGUUUUAUCUGUGCUUGUGCUUGAAACACACAGUAGGGGGGAGCGAAAUUAGCUGCGGAGCUGCUGCAGCGAGCAUGGGGACUUCUCAAGUCUCUCCCAAUUUUUCUGGCUCUUCAGGAGCUGUUUAAAAGAAAAAGGCUUAAGGUAAAAAGAAACACUAUAAAAAGAUUUCUUAGUGAAUUACUACACCUUGGUUUGCGAUCUCUGGGAAUCUCAUGGUGGACAGCUGAGAUAAGCUGGAAAAGGAUUUAAAUUUUGCUUAGAAACAAAGAAUCUUAAAGGUGGAGUUUCAGCCGGUAUGACACUUAGUGCAUAGCUGCCUAAAAGAUCAGAAAUGCUGUCAACAGGCUAUAAAAAAGGGACAGGCUGUGUUAAAAAUGCUACAUAAAGAAUAAUCUAAAAAGGCUGAGAGUGAGGUGGGAGAGGACUCUAAGAAAAACAAGAACAAGAAAGGAAUUUCUGCUUUUAGUGACCAGACCUUCAACUCUUGCUCACAGAAAGAGGGUGCUCAUUAAGAGAAGUUCUUUAAGGAGCCUGCCUUAUCUGCUGGCCCUAUUCCAAGAGAGGAGCCAGUCUCCAGCAUUAAAUUACUUUUCUCACUGGUCAUCAUUAGCAUGGAGAAUGCCUUUGAUCCUAUCCCCACAGCAGCCAGUUCCUGCCCCUGUGGUAGAAAUGUCCCAGGUUGGGGGGCAGAGAAGCCCCUAAAAUAGUUUCAAAGAAUCUACAACAAACUGUAAAGAACUUUGUUUUGUUUUGCCAGUUUAAAUUUAGAAUUCAGGCUUUGGCUGUGGCCGAGGUCAGGAUUAAUGUUUUCGUUUCCAUGGGCCCUUAGCCCACUGAGACAGUUUGGUAAAGGACUACUACUACAGUCCUGAUAUUCAGAGACAUGGAGAGAGCUAUAGUUUUUUUUAUUAAAGGUUGGUACUAUAGUAUUAACAAUCUCUUUAUUAGAUAUAAGAGACAAGAAGCCCCAGGUGAACUGGUUACAAUUCUUUUGUCAGCUGCUUAGUAUCUAACACUCAGGUUCUAUCGUCUCUCCAUCCUUUUAUUAUUAGUUGUUACUGAAAGCCUAGUGCCAUUUAGAGGAUGGGUCUCUUGAGUGAUAAAGCCACUGAGCUGGCACUAAAGGAAGGUACUCCUUAAGGGAAAAUCUAAGUCCAGAGAGACAGCCGGUAACAGAUAGGCUGCCCCUCUGCUCACUUUUCUGUUUCACAGACACAAGGUCUUUUUGUCCCAAGAAAGCCUCUUGGCUUAGCUGUGUGACUAAAUGCUAUUUGCCCUCUUCAGUGGACCUCUAUUCUCAAGAUUCUCUUGUUUUCUCACCAUCCCAUUUGAGAUGCUUGUUAGUAACUGUUACAGGUCUUCUUUACCACCGAGGAAAGACGGAAUCCUACUAGAGGCCAGAAAAAGUGUUCCAGAGAUGGAUAGAAGGCCCUCACUUCUGCCUGCUCUCUUCAGACGCCUAAAGGACUUAAACUGUGAUAGAGUGGCUGAUAGAGUGUCCAAAGAUGGGACCACUGGUCAGCAGCCAUGGACUAGAUUCUCCACCGGUUGGGGACAAUCUGGUCACCUUGCUGCCCAAUCCGGACCUGGAGCCACCACAGCACGAGUGUCAAACACUGACAGAAGCACAUGGGUGGAGGAAAGACCUGUGCGACUGGCUGAUUGACCCCUGCUGAAAGCCGAGGACCUUGUCCACAGACGGGAACAGUUCUCUUCAUGAAUAAAGGUCAGAGAUAAGUGGGUGCUGCCAUGGUGGACAACACAAUGUCAUCUAGAAUGGCUGAACCUCUACCCCCCCAGCACAUCAGCGCCACAGAUGCCUUUGCCAUCUCUUGGAUGCCCGGAUGAAGCCAACAACUGUGAGUACUAUUCAUUGCCCAGGAAAACAGGAGGGAAGAGAUUCAGUGACAUGGGGCAGUGACAAAACAGAUAAAGUGGCUCGGGAAAUGGCUAUACAGGAGCCUAUCCUGGUUACAGGCCUGCAAGAGACAGCCACUGAGAACUAGGAUUAGACUAAGGGAUGGCCUCACUUAGAAAAGGCCCAAAUUGCUUAAAAGAUAAAGGACAAUGGCACACUUGAGGGGAAGCUAUACUCCCCAGAGAACAAAGAAAAGACUCACUUUGCCAAAUAAAAAAAUAGACUUGGGCUGGGGAUUUAGCUCAGUGGUAGAGCGCUUACCUAGGAAGCGCAAGGCCCUGGGUUCGGUCCCCAGCUCCGAAAAAAAGAACCAAAAAAAAAAAAAAAAAAUAGACUCAUUUAAGAGAUAAGAAGUUUGUCCAAAUAGUUAAAAUAUAUAUAAUAGACUUUAAGAUUUUAGCCAAGAGAGACAAUAAAAAAGUAUAAAAUACGUCAAUAAAUAAAUGCUUAACAAACAAACAGGACAAAGAGACCUAGAGAGUUUAACGAAAAGUCGAAAUGAACUUCACUGAGAUAAAACCAGAAAAAUAUAAUCUCCUAGUGCUUGUAGAUACUUUUUCAGAAAUAGACAGAAGCUUUCCUCACCAAACGAGAGACGGCCUCUACAAUCAUCAAGAAGAUACUGAAAGAAAUCUUCCCCAGGUCUGGAAUGCCCAAGGUAAUCUGGUCAGACAACGGUCCUACUUUCGUUGCCAAGGUAAGCCAGGGUGUGGCCAAAUAUUUAGAGGUCGAUUGGAAAUUACAUUAUAUUUACAGACCUCAAAGUUCAAGACAGGUAGAGUAAAUAAACAGAACUCUAAAAGAGACCCUAAACAAAUUGACCAUGGAGACUGGCACAGACUGGGUGACACUCCUUCCCUCUUGCUCUCUUCAGAGCAAGAAAUACCCCUUCCAGACUCAGCUUUACCCCCUUUGAGAUCUUAUAUGGGGCCUAAGCUCCCCUGACUGUAUUAGAUGAUGUUACUGAACCAACAUGUCAUAGUGCCAUAGUAAUAAUGAUUUGUGUGCCAGGCUAAAAGACCUACAGGUGAUACAGAAAGAAAUCUGCUCACAGCUGACAGCAGCCUAUGCCCCGGAGACCCCUGAGACAUCCCAUCAGUUCCAGGUCGGAAGCAGCUACACUGAGCCCAGACACUCGAGCCUCGCUGGAAAGGACCGUGCCUGGUGCUGCUGACCACCCUGACAGCCGUCAAUUCUCAGCCCUCACCAGCCGUGUACUAGCUGUUAGGGCUGAGAGCUGGGACCUAGAGGGAAAUUCAGUCAUGUUUGUCCUGGGUUCUAUCAAGAUAGGUGUGGGAUAGGCUUGAUUUCUAUUACAAAUGAUGUAACAUUACAUAUGUUAGUACUCCUAACACUUCUUGGGACUGUGCCUCAGGGAUCACAACCUAUAUAAGUUUAGAAGUUCUGAAAGACAGUCAUGACCUUGGUGUAUAGGUUCAGAUAGUGUCCAGAUUGGAAUCCUGAUGCUAAAGACUUAGUAAGAGACAAAAAAAAGGAGUUGAGAAUUACUUAGGGCUAGGGCUAUCUAGGUGCUACAAGGGCAGCACAAGGACAUCUGCUGUUGCCCUACAAUACAAGGCUUAUAGAGAAUUCAGAACUGCCAUUGACUCAGAUAUAAAAAGAGUAAAAGACUUUUUAGCUGACCUCCAAGAAUACCUAACCUCCCUCUCAGAGGUAGUCCUUCAAAAUAAAAAAAAGAUUAGACCUGAUAUUCCUUAAAAAAGGAGUCUGUGUGCUAUACUGAAAAAAAAAUGUUGCUUCUAUACAGACCAUUCAAGAAUAAUUAAAGACUCCAUAAAUAAACUUAAAAAAAGGUUAGACAAAAGACAGACAGAAAAACACAUCAGAGAUGGUUCGAGAGCUAGUUUAGUAGAUCUCCCUGGAUGACUACCCUACACUCUGCUACAGCUGGGCCAUUAUUAAUAAUUUUCUUGGUUUUAGUUUUUGGCUCCUGCGUGACAAACAGGUUAAUUGCUUUUGUUAAAAAUUGAGUGGGUGCUGUGCGGUUGAUGGUUGUGAGACAACAGUACCAGUCAGUUAGGACAACUGGUGAGACCAAAUACGAGACUUGAUAUCAAAAUUCUAAGAUUAGAAUUAUUUAGUAGGAGAAGACGGGAAUGAAAAGAAAAUUAUACGAAUUCUAGGUUUAAAAAUAUAAAAAUUAAAAGAAUAAACCCCAAAAGGCCACAGACCCAGGGCUAAGCCCUGCAGCCAAGACUAACAGGCCAUAAAGAUAAAGGAGCACAGGAAACACUGUUCAGGCAGGACUGACAAGCCAUAAAGAAAAGGAAUGCAAGAACCAGCCUGAGUUAAUGGGACUGAUUCAUGGGACGUCUGGCAGGAAGACAUCUCCCCCCAGCUCACUGAGGGCCAUCCUCCGGCCCCUGAUAAGCCCCUGACUUCUAGCACGUACUCUUUCUGCUUUGUUCUCACUGCUAUGUUUGAAUGAGCCAAUUGUAUGUAACCACGCCAAAACCCCCUAGCCUUCUCUAUAUAACCCUCUGACUUUUGAGUUUCGGGGCCGACACCUCUGUCUCCUGCGCGGGAUAUGUGUCGGCCCGGAGAUCUCUGUAAUAGGUCUCCGUAAUAAACCUCGCCUUUGCUUAUUACAUCCAAAA